rnacentral:lncRNA from 1 species
AAAAGGGUAAGAUUAAUAUCUGAAUAAGUAAGACAAAUAAUGUAUUAUAAUAAAAUGAAAUGCACUAAUAUAUAGCUAGUGUAAAACUUCAUUGUACGUAUGUUAAUGUAUAUAAGUUUGAACUGGUGAAUCAACUCGCAUGGUACCUUUUGUCUGUUUGCGUGUGUUUACUUUGACUAUAUAUGGAUUUGGACAUAACAAUUCGAUCUAAGACUACCCUCUUUCGUUCCCAUUUGAGAAAGCUUUGAUUGGACACGUUCUUCUGAGCCUCAUGUAUCCAAUGAAUUUGAUCCAAUACACCUCGUGUUUAACUCCAACUGUUUAUGUAAAGAUAGAAUUGAUGUUGACAACAAAUAUUCAAUAAUUUAAAUUUACAGGGGAAGUUCAGUGUAUUAAACUGCUCUUAUUAAGGCAGAGAUUUGUAUAACCUUAUUUUUAUCCAAUGGGAUGCAUGAGUUUGGGUUCGAGCUGGAAUGAAAAAGAAUUCUAGUAUUAUGAGUGAAUCUGAAUUAGUGGGUCAUUGUUUCCGAAUACAAGAUGAGUAAAUCCAAAAAAAAUAAAAAAUUAUCUACUUUCACAAGCGGGGUCACGAAAAUUAACACU